GAUGAACGCUGGCGGCGUGCCUAAUACAUGCAAGUCGAGCGAACAGACGAGGAGCUUGCUCCUCUGACGUUAGCGGCGGACGGGUGAGUAACACGUGUAUAACCUACCUAUAAGACUGGGAUAACUUCGGGAAACCGGAGCUAAUACCGGAUAAUAUAUUGAACCGCAUGGUUCAAUAGUGAAAUACGGUUUUGCUGUCACUUAUAGAUGGAUCCGCGCCGCAUUAGCUAGUUGGUAAGGUAACGGCUUACCAAGGCAACGAUGCGUAGCCGACCUGAGAGGGUGAUCGGCCACACUGGAACUGAGACACGGUCCAGACUACUACGGGAGGCAGCAGUAGGGAACCUUCCGCAAUGGGCGAAAGCUUGACGGAGCAACGCCGCGUGAGUGAUGAAGGUCUUCGGAUCGUAAAACUCUGUUAUUAGGGAAGAACAAAUGUGUAAGUAACUAUGCACGUCUUGACGGUACCUAAUCAGAAAGCAACGGCUAACUACGUG
rnacentral:rRNA from 1 species